AUUGAACGCUGGCGGCAGGCCUAACACAUGCAAGUCGAGCGGAUGAAGGGAGCUUGCUCCUGGAUUCAGCGGCGGACGGGUGAGUAAUGCCUAGGAAUCUGCCUGGUAGUGGGGGAUAACGUCCGGAAACGGGCGCUAAUACCGCAUACGUCCUGAGGGAGAAAGGGGGGGAUCUUCGGACCUCACGCUAUCAGAUGAGCCUAGGUCGGAUUAGCUAGUUGGUGGGGUAAAGGCCUACCAAGGCGACGAUCCGUAACUGGUCUGAGAGGGUGAUCAGUCACACUGGAACUGAGACACGGUCCAGACUCCUACGGGAGGCAGCAAUGGGGAAUAUUGGACAAUGGGCGAAAGCCUGAUCCAGCCAUGCCGCGUGUGUGAAGAAGGUCUUCGGAUUGUAAAGCACUUUAAGUUGGGAGGAAGGGCAGUAAGUUAAUACCUUGCUGUUUUGACGUUACCAACAGAAUAAGCACCGGCUAACUUCGUG
rnacentral:rRNA from 1 species